CGCGCCGGCGCGGGGACAGCCCACCGCCGCGGGGAGGGGUGCAGCCACCGCCCCCCGCCCGAUCCGGCGCCCCCAGAGGCGGGCGGCCAUCGCCCGCCAGCCCGCAGCUUGUCGCGCAGGUCUAGUCCGCCGCCAUGCCGGGGCCUGUACCUGCGCUGGAAGUCCCGCUCGAAGGGGGCCAGGUAGGGGUCCCGCUCUAGCAGCUCCGGUAGCUUAGGCGCCUGCGGGCCUUGCGUGCCAGAGGCGGCCAUCUUGCCACCACGGCUCGGUAGCGCCGGGCACGGCCGCUAUAUACCUCCAGGCGGGGGAGGGGGGGGUCUCGGCGCGGGGCGGGCGGGCGGGCAAGGAGCCCACUGCCUCUCACCGCCCGGCGCCGCCCACCGGCGGGGGCAGCCCCGGGACCGAGAGCCGCCCGCCUCCGCCGCCACUCCCCGCCCGCCGUGUGCCUCGCGGCCUUGGGCGGGGUGGGAGGCCGGGGCUGCGGGUGGUCCUGGCCGCGACGCUCGGGCUCCCUGGAAGGGGCACGGGGUGCGAGCGCUGCGAUAAAUUCCUCCGCCGCUCGGCGGGGCGCUGGGCAGCUCGCAGUCGAGCGCAGCGACGCGACUCUGAUGGCAUCCGUGAGCUCUCAUAAAACGCUGCGUGUGUCUGGCAGAAUGCUGCUUCGCGGGGGCCAGAGGAGACCUGAACAAAGUAGAGUGAGUUCAGUGGAUCCUAAAGCAGCUGUAAAUGCUGAAUAGCACAGAUAGAUUAUGAGGGACAGGGUAUCAAUCAGUGUGUUUCAUUUUUGGAUAGGCCUCCAGGUAUCCAGGGUAACUCUUUACCAGCCUGAUCGUGGCUGUUGUCCAGCACUUUUUUUAAGAUACAUACUGACAAUGUGUAUUUACAGGCCUCUUUUUGGAUACAUUUUAGCCACAGGUUAUAAACUUUCCAGCACUAGGGUACUUGGCAUUGCUUCCACAACCAUCUCCCAAGAUUUCUGUCCGUGGUUUGUAACUCAUCUCCCCUGCCUUGGCUUACUGUGGAUUUAGAGUGCCUUCCUAUUCUGCUGUCAGGUGACAGCCUGUAACAAACUACAGCAGUUCAUUUAUAGCUUCUCCAAAAAUUGGCUGCAGUGACAGUUUUCAAAAUUAUUUGUUUCAUCAAAUGGUAUGCAUUUAACUACGCUGUAUUUCUUUCCUUGCAGCAGUUUAUAACUACACACAAAAAAAUCCAAGUACUUUUGUCUUACAGAGAACUAAAAUUGUUCUCUGUCCUAAGAAUCAGUGGCUCAGUAUCUGGAUGGAGAUCAGUAGUAAGCGGUGUCCCUCAGGGAUCAGAACUGGGAUGAGUGCUGUUUAAUAUCUUCAUCCAUUACAUGAACAGUAGGAUCAAGUGCACCCUCAGCAAGAUUGUGGAAGAUGCCAAGCUGUGUGGUACAGUCAGCACAUCUGAGGGAUAGAAUGCCAUCCAGAGGGACCUAGACAGCUGUAAGCAGUGGACCCAGGUCAACCUCAUGAGGUUCGAUGAAGCCAUGUGCAAGGUCUUGCACCUGGGUCAAGGCAACCUCCUCUAUCAGUACAAGAUGGCAGUGAAGGAAUGGAGGACAGCCCUGCAGAAAAGGACUUGGGGGUACUGAUGGAUGGGAAGCUGGACAUGAGCCAGCACUGGGCCCUCACAGCCCAGAAAGCCAACUGUAUCCUGAGGUGCAUCAAAAGAAGUGUGAUCAGCUGGUCAAGGGAGGUGAUCCUGCCCCCUCUACUCUACACUGCUGAGAUCUUACCUGGAAUAGCAUGUCCAGGUGUGGACACGCUCCUCAGUACAAGAGAGAUGUGGACCUGUUGGAGGGUCCAGAGAAGGGCCACAGAAAUGAUCCAAAGAAUGGAACACCUCCCCGUGAGGACAAGCUGAGAGAGCUGGGGCUGUUCAGCCUGGAGAAGAGAUGCCUCUGGGGAGACCUGAGAACAGCCUUUCAGUAUCUAAAGGGGGGCUGUGAGAAGUAAGGGGACAGACCCUUUAGCAGUGCCUUAGCAGGGUCUGUUGUGAUAGGACAAGUGGAAAUUAUUUCAAACUAAAAGAGGGGAGACUUAGACUGGAUAUAAGAAAGAAGGUUUUUUACAAUAAGGCACUGAAACUGGUUGCACAAAGAGGUAGUGGCAGCCCUGUCUCUGGGGACAUGCAGGGUUUAGACUGGACAGAGCUCUGAGCAACCUGAUCUAGUCGGUGUCCCUGUUCACUACAGGGAGUUGGACUAGAUAACCUUUAAAGGCCCCUUAAACGAUUCUAGGAUUCUGAGAAAUUGUUACAUAACUUGCCUCGGUGUCUACCAUUUCUUCAGUCUCAGUCAGGACUGAAAACCUGUUAUAUGCCUCAGAACUGUCUGUGUAGCAGUGAUUCCCUUGUCUGUGUUAAACUGAAGUUUAAUAACUCUAUCUUAUUUCUGACAUCAUGCUAUGCACAUUAUGUUUUCUUUUGCAAACUGUCUCUGACAUUCCCAUAGUUAUCUGGUUGGGCAAGCAAAGAGGGGAGCAAAUCCAGCUGUUAAUCAAGAGCCAGGAACUUGUUUUUCACAAUAGCUAGCGUUUUACCUGUACUGCUGUUUGAGGCUUCCAGCUGUAAUGGAGAGGUUGCCUGCUGCUCACGAGGAAGGAGGGGGGAAAUCCCUGCAGUCUUUGAAUAUACUACCAUAGGAAACAGGAGCUUCAUUUUAAGCACAGUCUGUUUGGUUUUCUUAAUUAUCAGAAAGCUCAACAGGUUCAGAGUGCCAUUAUUAGCUAUUUGGCAUAGACACAAGAGAGAGAUUUAUAAAUUGGCAUUAGCAAUUCAUGUAAACAGUAGGAAUAUUGCUGUGACUUCGAGCUCCCUGGAGACAGAGACCCUUUCUUAACCUUUGUUUGUGAGAUUGUAAGCAGAAAUAACACAGUACCCAGACUCGCAUCCAAGCAUCCUUGAAUGUCAGGAAGUUAAAUUCUUCAAGUAGCCCCAAGUGCUAUAUUUAAUACCUUGUGAAUUGGGAAAUUGAUAACCAUUCUAUUUGUAUCCAUUCAUGUUCAAGUUUACAACUGAGGUGUGAUUUUAUCUGCCUGCUCAAAGACACAAAGGCAUAUAUUACUGUGAUCUAUUCCAGUGUGAUCUGGCUGAGACUCUAAGGCUGAAUUUGGCUCUGAGGACAUUGCCAUUUAGUCUUCUACCUAGAGGCAAAAAAAGGGCACUCGAAACAAUAAAUGUUGUUGCAGUAGAUGAAUGCUUCUUUGUGUAUUUGUCUGACAUCCACCCAAAGAUAGCAGCUGCCAGUAGAGAUAGGAAGAAGGGGUGGAUGGUAAUAACUGCUCUUUUGGGGGACAGUAAUGGAUCUUAAAGGACUGGCAUCUGAGGCAUGUGUCUGGCACCCAGCUACCACCAAGAACAGAGUAUAUCAAACCACUCUAAAUUUGUCUUUCAAAGGAUGUUUAUUAUUAAGUUGUGUAUACUUUAAAAUGUUGCAUAGCAGUGCUAUGCAAUAACUAGUUACAAUUCUUAUAAUAGUUUCUGUACGAAGUUCAAAAAGAAAUCCAAGUUUUGUAUUGAAGAACAUUCAAGAACUGACUACUCACGUAAUGCACUACAGCAAUUUUCAUUUUCUCAUAUAUUGCUCUUACUUGCAAAAGUAGACAGAGAUGCUAAACUGUAGGAACAGGGUUCUUUCUCUGAAGCACUGGUUCAAAUUCUUCCCACCAUCCUGGCUCUCAGAUUGGCCAGAGACCACCUCAUGGUGUUAGCUGGAGCCUGCAGGGAGACAGACAGGACAGUUGUCAAGGGUACUGUGUAACUAGUUUUCCUUCCACUAUAGGCAUAAAAGGGGCAUUGCAAACAUACAGUACAUUUCUUAAAUAUCACUAAUCUACAUAGUCUUUACAGGUAGGUCAGACAUUGGCAGUUGAGAUUAUACAAGUUUUUUAUUCCUGUCUUUGAGCUUUCCAAGGCUCUGCUGAGAUGCAGAAGGAGGAAAAAUGGGCAGUGUUGCACAGUUGCUGAAUCUCAGCAGCAUGUCAGUUCUUUAAUUAAAACAUUAAAAAGUUUUGCAGUUUUUGUAAGGAUUCAACUAUUAAUUAAUUACUUAGGAAAAAUAAAGGAUAUAACAUUGAAAAUUACAGCAAACAUUCCAAGAAUCCAUUAGUCUAUCCCUUAAUUAGUUUAUGGUUUGGGGGGUUUGUUUUUGUUGGCUUUUUCUCUGUCAGUUUGUUUUAGGAAAUUUAUUAUUCAUUGAGAUUGUCUUUUUAGGUCUUACCAUUGCCCUCGUAUGGUAACAGGAUCUUUAAAUAGAAACACAUCUUUAAAGAUCAAAAGUAAUCUGAAAUCUAAACUACUAAAAAGCCACUUUCAGAGUUGUCAAAUUCCACUAAAUGCUUUUGAUAGGAAUGCUAUUUGCACUUAGCAUACAGAACCAAAAUCACACUGUAGCAGCAUGAAAGCACUAGAUAAUGGCUGCUUUUUGCUUUCAUGUUACUGAAGUAUUACUAUGAUCUGGUGUCCCCAUGGAACACCUCCCUUGUAAGGACAGACUGAAAAAGCUGGGACUGUUCAGCCUGGAGAAGAGAAGCCUCUGGGGAGACUUGAUAGCAGCCUUUCAGUGUCUGAAGGGGGGCUGUAAGAAAGAAAAGGACAGACUCUUUAGCAAGGUCUGUGGUGACAGGACAAGGGAAAAUGGUUUAAAACUAAAAGAGUGGAGAUUUAAAUUGGACAUAAGGAAUUUUUUUGCAAUAAGGGUGGUGAGGCUCUGGAACAGGUUACUCAAAGAUGUGGUGGAGUCCCCAUCUUAGGAGACAUUCAAGGACCUAUAAAGGUCCUUUCCAACUUAAAAGAUUUUAUGAUUCAUUACUACUUAGUAAGAAUAUUUUACUUCAUGUUAUUACAUCACUUCAAUAAUACUCCAUAUCUUUUUGUUUGUUUUGCUUUGGUUUAAUCUCUUCUUUGUAACAAACAGAUAAAUAUUUAUAAUUUAAAUAGCAGUUUAAUUACAAUCACAUAUAAGGUUAAUUUUGAGUUUUCUGAGUUAAUGUUAUCCUACUUCAGCUGGAAUUAUGGAUUAAUGUUUCUCAGUUUCCAAUGCCCUUCGUUUUUUGGUGUCUCUUUGAGUUUUUUGUUAAUCUCUCAAAAUUCUCCCUGGAUGUUGGAUUCAGUCUCCUAAUUCCACUGAAGAAACAUUUGAUAUCUGAUUUUAGUUUAACUAACCACUCUGUGCAGAUAUUUCUCCCAUUCUGCAUGAUCAGCUUCUACAGCAGGGCUCUCAUAUAAGUUCUGGUUUCCACUGCUUUCAUAUUUCAACUUCUUUGUUAGCACUUCAUUCUGUUUGUGUAUGCUUAAUCAGAAUAACCUUUUAAAUUGUACAGAUUUCAGCUUGUGCCAGUAUUCAGUCUUUCUGCAUUAUGUUCUCUUCUCAGGCAACAUCCAGGCUUGUCAUUUUCCAAUUGUCCAUUCAUUCCAUCAGGACAGUAGGCCUUCCCCAAUGAUCAAAUUGUAAUUUGAAGUCUGUAAAGGUGAAGUGUAAGCCUUUUUGGCUGCAGCUGAGAGGUAUGAAUAGCCUUUUUCCUUAUGUCAGUCUUCAGUUAGCAAUCCAGUAGAGGCCUUGUUGGAGAUGCUCUUCCAGUAUAUUGAAUCUUUUCCAGUUUCCUCACUAUAUGUUUGUGCUAAGUUCAGCUGCUUUCUUACUACACUAUUUCUUACCACUGCAUAUAUGCUUUGCUGCUGCAUCUUACCUUGUCAUAUCCCUUUUGCCAUGUUUCCCUAAGAAGAAUGUUUGAGUGUAAAUACUGAUAAAAAUAACAGUGUUACAGCUUCUGAGUCAUCUGCUCACUUUGGUAUUUUUGAUUUUGCUGUUUAUUAUCUAUGAUGGCUGACAUCGCUUCUCCCCUCAUAUAUGCAGCUAGCUCAUUCCAUGUUGUUCUGGUAUCUGCAGGCCCUAAAACUGUCUGCACUCCAGGCCAUCCCUAUAGCUAUUUAAAUACAUCUGUGUAUUUAAACAUUCAAGGCUUGUUAAUUUCUACUGUGCUGCCAUGCACAAAACACUAAACAGAGCCUGACAACUUUUUCUGCUUCUAAUAUGUCUCUGCUUUCUUUUGGCUUAUGACCAUCAUAGUGGUAUAAUCAUUCAAAUUCUGGUCUUCCUUCUUAAAUCCAGACAGUGUUAUGCAUCCACUCAUAAUAAUCAGUUUCUAGAUCUUUUGAAAGAAUCUAGAAAGAAUUUUGAAAGAAUUUGAAAGAGCCCAAAGAUUUAGUCCCUGCUUAAUACCAUUUCCUCACCUCAUCUAUUUCUUCCAAAAAAAAUAAAAAUGGAUAGAUUUCCUAGGAGCAGAGUGGGAAUGUCCAGCAGGGGACUGGGUUUGUUUUUGUCCUACCUAAGAAUCACAGAAUUAUAGAAUCAUUAAGAUUGGAAAAGGAAACUAAGAUCAUCUAGUCCAACAGUCAACCCAACACCACCGUGCCUUCUGAACCAUGUCCUCAGAGCCUUGGUUCCCCUGUCAAUGGUCUUGUCCUUCACUAAUCAGCUAUAAGAGAAACAAAGUCUCUGUUCAGCUGAUUCACAGGAAGGGAGCAGACACAAAGAUCUCUGAUCACCUAGGGCUAUGAUCAGAGGCUUUUAAAGCAAUCUUUGGGCCUCCAUCCAGUGUCCACCUAGUGUCAGUUUGCCAGACUGCCACAUUUUCUUUCUCAGAUUUUCAGCAGCUGGCAUCCACCACAAAGACUGCUGCCUAUCUACAAGAGAUUAGUACACUGUAAAUGAGAAAUGCUUCAAAAAGUCUUCCAUGCCUUUGUCCUCCUCUAUUAAAACUUAGUCUCACAGACCACAUUGAGAUCAUCUACUGUUAUUUUUCUGUUAGUCUUUGUCUGGCUCUUUAACCUUUGCUGUUAAAGCAUUGGUUUAUGCAAAUAGAGAGAUUUCUUCAUUGAUAAGAUUGUUAUCCAAAUUAUUAGUAAUCUUUGUUUUUUCCCUCUUUCCCUGUUUCAGCUGCACAUUUAAAAUACUGAAAUGCUCAUACAGUUCACAAAUUCUCUAUUGCUUCUUGGCCUGUGCAAUCCUUCAGCUGUCUCCUCAGUAACUCUUAUGUUGUCUUCUGUUUCAACACAUGCACAAGAAAAACUCACAAAGGAUUCCAUCCUGGGAGCUGAGUCAUUCUCUAAAUCAAGAACUGUCAUUCUCUGUACAUAAAAUAUUCCUCUGCAGAGCUUAAGGUAAGUCUUAUUGCGCUGCUUUCCUUCAGGAAUUUAUAUCUGCAUAGAAGAAAAUUGAGCCUCAUGCCAAUAGAUGAGAUAGACUUUAUGGCUUCUCCAUGAUCACACCACAUAUUGGUAAAAGCAUGGAACUGUGAAAUAUGAGAUGCAAAUGUCAAAAUAUUUCUUUGUUUUUGUAAGGAGUUGCACAAGGAGUCAUUCCUUUUCUGUACAACAAAGUAUGGGUAUUCAUAACUGUAAAAAAAGCCACGCUACCAAGAAUAGAAAAAAUAAAUGCCAUUUGUUGUUUGUUGUUUUGUUUUUCUAAUUUCCUUUCUGUAGAAUGUAGCAUCAAUAUUCUCAAAAAUAAUAAUAAAAAAAACCCUCUAAAAAAACUAUCAUAUUGUCUAUUGUUUUUCUUAAAUCUAUAAAUGUUUUGCAGGUCUUAAGUCAGUUGUCUUGCUCCAGUUUUUGAUCUUUGGAAUAAACUUAUUAUUAGUAGCAUAUUAUUAUAGAUUAACUUAUUUUGGCUUUUAGUAUUUGUCCUGUUGUUCACAUGAUUUCAUUUGUAUGUUGGGAACCAAUUUUUUGUAAACAUCAAGAGUUCUUUCAACACUGACACAAUUGCAAGGAAUUUGAGGUAGGUUCUGUCGUACUUCUAUAAUAAAUUAUUAUAUAACAAGUUGAGUAGCUACAGAAAAAAAGGCCUUUUUAUAAGUUGGAAAAUGGGUACACUGCACAUUUCAGGUUAAUAAAAUUUAUAUGCUGUUUUGAGUGCAAGUUUGCAUAUUAACCAAAAGGGGGUUGAUUAGUUUUUUUCCUUUUAUUCUUUUCAAAAUGUUUUUUUUUUUGUAUAUUAGCAAAUAUCCAUUAGUAAAAAGUAUAAAAUGUUCUCUGAUAACUUUCUAUUAGAAUCAUAGAAUCAUAGAAUGGCCUGGUUGAAAAGGACCACAAUGAUCAUCCAGUUUCAACCCCCAUGCUAUGUGCAGGGUCACCAACCACAACACCAGGCUGCCCAGAGCCACAUCCAGCCUGGCCUUGAAUGCCUCCAGGGCAUGCCUCCACAACCUCCUUGGGCAACCUGUUCCAGUGCGUCACCACCCUCUGUGUGAAAAACUUCCUCCUAAUAUCUAACCUAAACCUCCCUUGUCUCAGUUUAAAACCGUUAUGUUAGAGAAGAUUCAGCAAAGGCUUAAAUUUCUUUUGUCUUACACUGUAAACCUGGAUAGUGAAGAAAAUAAAAUUGUCAAGAAUAUGGUAUCUGCUUGUAAAUAAAAUACUGUCAUUCACAGUUAGACAUAAAUAUGCAGAGGCUAUAGCUGUGAGAGCUAUUUAAAAAUCAGAAGUCAGAAUGCAGUCAUGUUCGGAGGAGUAACACAUAAAAAGUUAUCCCUCAAGAACAUUCCCUUCUAAAGUGUAACCAAAUAAAUAGAAUUAUUUCAUGUAGUGCUGUAUAAUUGAGAUGACUUAGAAUUCCCCCUCUUAUAACACUUUUGAUCUAGCUGUUAGGUGUGACAGGGUAAGGUUAAUUCUCCUUCUCCUAUCACAGGUUAGGAAAGACUUAGUUCUAAGAAUUAAAGGCUCAUUAAAGGAGGAUGGCGAGACUUCUUUUCCAGUGUACACAUUAAUUACCGUAACACUCAGUGAAUUUAUGUUUGCUGACAAAAUGACAUACCUUGUUUACAUAUCAGUGGAAAAAAAAAAAUUGAGUUUCUGGCUGAUUGAAACUGUCACUUUCCUCAAGUAACUACUCUAAUGAAGUAAAACCAAGGAAAACAGAGCAAGAUUUUGUAAAAACAUAUACUUCUUCUAUAAGCAAAACAGCACCUGUUUCUUUUUAGAAAGAAUGUGAAUUGAACACAAGUCUUGAAAAAGUCACUAAACUCGUGAUCUGAUCUACCGUUCUGGACCUUAUAUGACCAUCUACUGAAUUUCUGGCUUUCCACUGAUGACAACAAACACCUUUGUAAGUAAAAUUAACAUAGUGCUCGUACCUUAGAUUUUGAGGUGAGCAAUGCCAGGGACAUCUGCAGCCACAGGACAGGUAAAACACUUCUAUCCUCCUCCAGCAACACAUCAGAAUUCUUGGUAAUUAAGAAAGGCUAGAGAAUACAUAUGUCAGCAGAUCUAUGUGGUUUUGUUUCCACAGGAAUACCUUAUCCUUCAUUUUAUUUUGCCCCUACUAAUUCUUUGCCUCAGCACACAGAAAAAUAACUGCACAACUGCAGUUUCAGAUACAUGUUACAAUCCUGCCUUCUGCUCAGUAUAAAAUAUUUUUACUCACCUCCCAGUGUGCAGUCCAGUGAGAAUAAAAUACAUUGCUAAGAAAUUAUUAAUAUAUGCAACCUUACUUGACUUUCCUUUUAGCUGCUGAAAUAAGAUACUUAAUUUCUUUACAAGUCUGUGUGGAUAGAUGUCUAGAGUUUAUGAACUGUCAAAAGUGUGAUUUAAGGAUAACUAGCAGAGCUGCAAAGCAAACAAGAAGCUGCUCAGCACUGGGUAGUGACAGUGCUUGUUUAAAAUCUGUUUAAGGAUCCACUGUUCCUAUUACGAUGUACAGUGCAUCUGUAGAAUUUUUCUUACAGAACAGGCAUCUCCAGGGCAUUAUUAUCACAAAGUUAUAAAUAAAGUACAGAAAGUUUUCAGUAUAUUUUCAAAACACAUGGUACUAGGAAUAGAUUAAGGAGUUUACUAUUCGUGAUCAAAGACAAUAGCUAAUGCUGCUGUAGUGGUGGUGAACAAAAGCAAAUUUUAAAAUGCUCUAUUAUUUCAUGCUUUAAAAAAAAAAACAAAAACAAACAAAAAAACAACUCAGUAUCAUCUUAGAGGUUAUUUUUUCAAGAACUAAUAAAAAAUACAAUGUAAUUAUUUUAAUACUUAAUUGUCACCCAAUCUGGUAAUGAAGGGAAAUAAAAAGCAUUAAGUCUUUCAGAAACUUUUUCUCCACAUAUUUACUAUCUUUUCUAUAAAUUCAGAAUCUGGUCUGUGCACUAUUUUUGGACUGUAAGCAAUCCACAGAUAAUCUGGUACUAGCAUUCAUGUCUGGAAAUUUAGUAUCUUUUGGCUUGUUUGACUGAACUUGCAUGAUAGUCCUGCUGGAUGUGGGUACUUAACACAUCACUAGUCCUGUUCAAAUAUUAUUCUGCGUGAUUUUUCUCUGACUGUCACUAAAAUUCAUUCUUUCUGUAAGGCUAUGUCGACGGUUUACGGGCUGGUCUGGCCCGGUUCCAUGACUAGUGGGGCGGAGGGAUUUUUUUGCAACAUCCGUGCCUCCGGAAAAGAGAAACAGGGGACCCCCCCCCAAAAAAAAAGAAUAAUUAAAAAAAAAAAAAAAACAGCAGCAACGAUCUGAGGAGAAACAAACUAAUUUACUAAAUACAGUAUUGGAAUGCACGAUAACACACUAUAAUACAAUAUAAUUCAAUGUAAUUGUUAAUAAAAUCAAACAUAAUUGAGAGAAGGAUUGUCCAAGAGCUAAAGGCCUUACACUAAUACUGAAGCCUUGUGUGCAGUCUGGAGCAGCAGCGAGACAAUCCGCAAGCGAGCAUGAGACGAGAAGAAAGGGAAGAGGACUCACUCAGGUCAGGUGACCUACAGGCCUUAUAUCUGUUCCCCUGAGCAGGAAUGGUAACUACUCGAACAGUCUUCUGGGGAACGUAGUUCUUCUCUUCUGGACAAGUACCCAGAACUAGAGCAUUUGCUCUCUAACUCCCAGUACACUGCAUGAUGUUAUGAUGUGGAAUACUGAUAACCAAAAAUCAUAAAACCAUGACAGGCUAUGAUCAUGGAAGAAAAAAAAAAUGGAACAGUAGAUGUCUUAGCAUAUUUUUUUUUUUACUGAUUUGACCAAAUAUUCACACAGAAAUAUUUCUAAGCAUUCGCUAACUGGCAGGCUAACAGUGCCUUUAUAUCCACUAAUACCAUCUCAUGGGACAAGAAUCGUUGCCGGACCUCACCUCCUCCCAGACUCUUCAAUGCUCAUUCUUUUUGAGUGACAGGCCUCUGCCCAUGUGUUACCCACAGCAGAACUCCCAAGAAAAUGCUUCUUUAAACCUGGUGGUGAGUCUACAGCAUCUUGUAUUCUGUAUUCCUGCAUCUAAAACUCCUUCUCAGAAGCACAUCCCUUAAAUUGCUAAAUGGCAGUACAUUUGAUUCUUUCUGGUAUGAAUGCCCUACAGCUACCACUUUUUGUCUGAGCUCUGAAGAGGCAUUUCUGUCUCUAUUAGCAUGGCAAGCCAAACUACAAUUUGUCUCUGCAUGAUGCUUCUCUAUGGUACUACACCACUGCACAACGACUCACAAUCUCUCAAAGAACCAUUUUAAAGAAAACUGCAAAACAUUUGUUCACCUGCAUCUCUCCGUAAAGCUUACCCCUGUGAUAAGCAUCAGAAACGUGCCUGCCUCAGGUGUGCCAAGCAAUAGUGCAGUAUCACAGAUCCAGCACUCAGCGGCCAUCUUUGUGUUUUUCACUUCCCUUUGGAGAUGCUGGUCAGUGAUUUCCUUCCCCUCCCAUUCCUUCCCACACUGGGUUUGCCCUGAGUUUUGACUGUAAAUCUUCAAAAUGGAAAAGCAAGGGUAUAACCUGGAGAUAGGCAAAGUGGGGCAUCCCUAAAUUAACAAUUCUAUUUCCCAUUCCAGAACUCUUAGUAUGUUCUUGGAAAUAUCUCUAAUCACAGUCUGGUUCUCUUCUUCCUUCGUUCAUUGAUUAUUUCAAGCAAAUUCAAGAUGAAAAUAUCAGGCAGUUAAACUGAGAUGUAUAUAAUAUCUAUGAAGAAGAUAUCCCCCCAAGUUCUAAUAAAGUCAGAGACACUUUUCCUGCUGGUUAGGUUCCACUCAGUGUAAGCAAGAAUCAGAAUAUGACCCUGUACUACAGUUGUUAGAGAAACCAAGAGCUGUUUAUCUUAACUACUACAUUAACUAAGCAUGAUUAUUUUUAAUUGAAUGAUUGUUGAAAGCAUUACAGGUGGCAUAAAGGAAUUUUUGUAAGCAGGAACAAAGGAAAAGGACCUGAUCCUUUAGCCACCCCAGGGAGACAGCUGAUGGUGUAUUUGCAGUUUGAGGCCUUAGAAGAGUUCUCAGUGAUGUCCUUAGAGCUUAGCUAACAGAUAAGAGUUUCCUAUAGUUCAUUUCCUAAGCUACUUCCUGCUGGUCUACAGUAUUACAUCCAUCCGUCUCAUCCUCCGGGCUUCUUUGUGUUGUUUUUUCACCUGCCAUACCUAAAGGCACACUACCGACCUCAUUUAAUCCUGAAGAGCAAGGAUGCUAAUUGAGUUGAAAAUGGUAAUGAUGCAUCUAAUUUUCUCAUGUCUGUGUGCUCCCCCUCCUUUCAGAACACCUGACAACACCUGCAUCCCAGAACAAGGGCUUCAACAUGUAUUUUCCUGUGUUGCGCCCAGCUACUCCCUUGACCUAUUAUCUGUGGCAAGUUACAGUGAAUCAAACAUGAUUCCCUCCACAUUUCUCUUCAUUCUGUUUCUGAAUAAGAGCUGAUGUAUGCUCAGGACAUUUUUGUAUUUGCUGCCACAGUUAAAGCAUAAUUAGCUACAUGAAAAAGAAGGGGGAUUAACCACCUCCACUUAGCUGAGACAUUGUCACCUUUAUACUUAAGGCUGCUAUUUGGUUUUUCAGGUAUUUCAAUUGCCAGUCAAGGAGCAGUUUAAGUCUGUAAUAUAAUAAUACUUGCAAUUACUAGUAAAUAACAUUUUACAGCGUUAACUAGCCUGUCCUUACAACAUCCUUUCCAGGCAGGCAAAUAAAUGUUAUUAUCCUCAUUUUACAAACACAUUGAUUAAGUGACUUGCCUAAAGGCCACACAUCAAUUUCAAUGUCAGCGCCAAGAUUAGCACAAAGGAACUUCUGCAUUGCAGUCCCAGGAAAAGGGAAAAAAAAAUAUCUGUAAUAUUAAGUGCAUCCUCCCCUAAAACAAGCAAUCACUUUUCAGACGCUCAGUCUAAAUAGUGUUUACCUGCUUUGCAUCCCCUUAAGUCCUGUGCUCCGCCCACCUGUUAAGUGCUGCUUGUUAAUGACUCAAAAUGGUUCCCAGCCUGCCGCUAGUAGGGGAAGCUUUUCCUUCACUUGCUAGUUUCAUCCCAGUCGCUGGCAGGUGCUGUCUCAAGAACCUGCGAAGCUUCCAGGCUUACAGCUGAACCUGUGCUUAGACAAGUGAGGAAGGCUUGUGCUGCUCCUUGAAGGGCAGCCUCAGUAUGAUCACGGAUUUGAAGCAGCAGCAGUUGCAGCAGGAGCACGAUUAGGAAGAAAUUAGAAUGAUCUUCCACCAUUUAAUAGAUCGUUGGCCUCUCCAACCGAGCACAUUUUCAAUUUCUAGGCUGUGUACAGCCAGCACAGUUGUCUUUCCUAUUGCUGCUGUAGCUACUGUUUGGAAAUUGUGGUAGCUGGAAGGCAGUAUUGGAAAUUGAGCCUUCAGCUCUAAAACACAUUAACAUCUCUAGUCCUCAAUCUCUUGAGCUACUAAGUAAAUUGCCCUAUUUCAAAGCACCUGCUUUUAUAUUUGGAAGGAAUUUUGGUUUUGAUCGUUUGUUUCAGACUGAGGCAUUAUGUCUCUGUUCCUUUCCUGACUGAUGAGCAAUGCAGACCUUACUGCAUACGUGUAUUUUAUGACGUGUGGAAGUAUAGCAAGUAACACUGUAGUACACAAAAAUCUAUUAAACACUGUAGAAUUUCCAACGUUAAAACCCUGCUAUGUUUGCAGGCAGUUAUUGCUUAGGGAAGGGAAAAAAAAAAAACAAAACAAAAAAACCAGCAGCAAUUGCUUGCUCCCCACCCCCCACCAUAACAUAUGUUUCCUACCUGUAAAGACAAAACAGAGAAAGUCACUCCAGCACUUUCAGCAGCUAAUUAAGGCCAUUCAUGUGUUAAGGGUGGCAAUGUUUUCUCCUGACUUAGGCACUGUUUACAAGAUCUUCAUGACUCAACUUCUAAAUGUGACAGAAAACCAAAAUAAUUGUGAAUCUUUUGAACUUCGGUAGCAUUGUUUGUCAGUGGUUUCACAGAUCUGUCAUUAAAGCCUACGGCAUCAUUUGCAAAUCCCUUAAUUUGACCUAGUCAUUGAAACUGAUACUGUGCCAAUGUCUGAAAGCAGAUACAUUGAAAAAUUGUCCAGCAUUUAUGAUAGAUACUGGUAUUUCAGACCAGAGUCCCAGGCAAUUAAUUAUAUUUUUAAUAAGCAUACAUAACAAAGUUAAAUUUAGAAGUAGACUUUGAAAUGGUUGCCAAGUUUUUAACUGAAGGUCAUUUGUACUUUUUUAUUUUUAUCCCAGGUGGAGAGAGUAUGCAUGUCUAGAUACUCAAACGAAAUGUGUAGACUUAAGUACAAAAUACCUCAAAUAUUAGCCACAUUAAUUACACGUUUUUUUCUUUCCCUUUGAGAGAUCAUUUCUUGCAUUAAAAGAACAAUGCUCAAUUGAUUGCUUGCAAACCAUCUAUAGAUUGCAGUAUCAGACACAUUCAUCAGGUUUACGCCUGUCAAAUUUUUAUGUUUGUUUUCAAAUUUUUAACAGCAAAAAAUAAAACAUAUUUAUAAAUAAAUGCUUAACUGUGUUUGUGUUUUUGGCAGUGUAUUGGCUUGGCUUCUACGCAUCUCUGUCAUCCUUACUCUUCCAUAUCAAACUGUGUCACUUAAAGAGACACAUUAAACCGUAAUAGAGGGGUACUCUUGCUGGUGAAAGAGCAAAUCGUGGCUUCAUGGCCAUAGAUGUGAUUGAGUUCUGAAGCCUGAUAAAUAUUUUAUCAUGACACAAUUUCAGAUGCUCAAGGGCUUCACAAUUUUAAUUGUGUUUUAAUUAUAGCACCUCCGUUCAAUUAUGUUCUCUGCCUACUUCAGAUAUAAGUACUUCAGUGUUUUAAAUGGUAUUUUGGCAAAACUCACCUGCAAGGCUGCUGCAAUAUUCGGGGUGUGUCCUGUAACCUUCAGCAGUAGUUUUGUAUGUAGUUUUACACACAAAUAUAUAAUCAAGAAUAAAAGAUGAGGAAGUACUACGAAAAGCAUUAAAAUAACAGAAGAUCAUGUGUUAGCAUGAAAAUGGCAUGUUUUUCUUCUAUUUAGCUUUGCAUUCUGCAGUACAAGUAGUACUAGUGUUUUGUGAGGCAUGUUAUGCUGCACAGCAUGAACUUCAUUUGUGAUUCCUUAAGUACUACCAUGAACACGACUAUUGAAGAAAAUAAGUUUUCUUAUAGUUACUUUUGUUCUGUAAUUUGUAUUACUGCACUUCUCUUAAACUCUAUAGCACCUCAUUGCUAAAAUUAAUUAAUUAAUUAAGAAUUAAUUUUGAGUAGGCACUUGGAUUCCAGUCUGCUAAGGGCUUAGAUCCAUGCUUAUCUUCUCAAACUCUUAACACUCUCACUGCUUUUUUUUUUUUUUUUUUUUUUUUUUUGCAUUUAUGUCUAAGAGCUAGCUUAAAACCGUACUACAUCAAUAAGACUUAAACAUUUUAUAAUGUUUUUCGCUCAAUUUUGGUACUCAGAUGUUCACUGACAAUUCAUCUCUUUCAUUCACUUCCAAAAUCUACUCCUGAUUUUAAUCAGUAUAUAACGUCAGUGUGUAAUGGAAUGUUCAGGUGUGCUUUCAAAACAAGUUAAAAUUACCUAGUGAAAGCCUUAUUUACAUUUUCAGAAGCUCUUACAAAUAAAAUUAUUUGUGUUUGUUCAGAAGUGCAAGAACUAUGGGUGAAACUGUCUUUGUUUCUGGUGCAAAAAGUCAGGCUAGAUGAUCAAAACACUCCCUUGUGGCCUUAAAAAUCUCUGAUGUGUUUUAAAGCUUACAAUUGCCACAUCAGAUCAGUGAAAUGUUAUCUUUGUUUCCAAAGAACAAGCCUCUGUGAUCAUUACUGCUCUGUUGGCUGAUCAUUUUAAAUUAACAUAGCACAAAACAAUUCAAAAAAAUCAAUUCAUAUUCUUAUCUCCAGAGUUACAGUUUUAAAUGUGGGAAAAAAAAUGGAGUCAGAAAAUGGGAUUUGCAUGAAUAAAAUGCCUUAUACCUCCCAACCACCUCCUCUAUUAUCUCAUGGUGCUUUUCAAAUAAAUGAUUCCAUGUAACUCAGAACUUCUAAAGGGAUUUGAAGGUUAUUGCAUUCCAUUCACUUCCAAGUAGAUUGGAUACUAAAAAUAAAAAGUAAUGACAGAGCUUACCUUUCCUGACUCUGGAACUGAAAUGGUAAAUAUUUAAUAAGGGAAACUCACUUUCCCAAAGUUUUGUUCAUCUCUGUCUUUCUCGCUAAUAAAAAAGCAAAAUGAGUUUCUAAGCAUAUAGCUAUUCUGAUACUAUACUCAUGGAUGAUCAUCUUUCUAUUGGACAAAUGCAAAAUCCCUGUCCUGCAUAAACGUGAGGAUUUUUUACUGAUGAGAAUAGCUCCAAUAAAGACAAUAAAGACAACUGAAAAUCCCAUGGGCAUAUAAGAUACAAUACCAUAACUAACUUGACCUGUUUUUAUCUACCUUACUAAAUGUCUUGGUAUCACUGAAACAUCUGCAAACGUCUUAUAUAGGUAAUACCAUAUAUUUUAAAAUGUAUGAUAUAUACAUCCGUGAUUAUUUCUAAGUAUGCUUCAAGUACACUUGAAAGUAGUGCACACAGUGGAGCAUUUCUGCUUUAGUCCAGUUUUCAAAUAUAGAAAAAUACAAAGGCAUCUAAGUUCUUCCUUUUCAAGAUCUAAAUAACUGAAUAUAAUUUGUUUCUAAUUUUGAUUGUUAUAAGACAUUUACCUAGAAGAAAACUAUUAUAACAAAUCAUAAUGUUUUGUGUGUUGCUCAAUGAACAAAAGAAUCUUUCUACUAGGGGCCAUCAUCCCAAUGAGACUCUAUAGCUCCUUUCGAAAAUCUCUCCAAUUUGCAUAGCAUUAUUAGCAUAAUGUAUUUGGCUCACAUAAAGAGAUAAAUAUGGGUGUGCCAGGAAGACUUCAUCAAAUAUGAAGUGAGUAUGAACAAAAACACCAAGCUGGAGAUCUCAGCUCCCUCUCAACUCAUCUUCCCAUGCAGGCUCUCACUCAGAUCAUUGAUCUCUCUCUCAGUGCUUUCGAUGACCCCUGAUCUUUCUUUUUUUCUUUUCUUAGCCUUAAAAGUGAAAACAUUGUUUUGAAGAAAAUAGCUGGAAUAGGAAAAGUAAGUAAAAGUCUCAACAAAACUCUAUUGAUCCUAACAGUUUUCUGCUAAAAGCAAAUGCCUAUACCAUUUACUCUGGAAAAUUGAAUGAGUUCUAAAAAUGGCUUACAUGUAGCAGAGAUAUUCUUUACGACUUUCCCACUUCAUUUAAAGGUAAUAUGAGCUGGGUCACAAGUGAUAACAUUAUAAUAUCCUCUGGGAAUCAGAUUACCUAGGAACUUCUUACCUGGCCUUUCCUUGGCAAUGCAACCGAGACAAAGCCUUGGCACAGAAAUGGUUCUCACAUAAAUCUGCCUUGUGUGCCACAAGCCAGCCACAUGCCCCAUACAUGCUGUUCACAUACCACCCAUAUAUAUUAUAAUAAGAAAAAUUGAGGUUCUAGGUAGCACUCAAAAGUGCCAGAGUUUACAAGCACACAAAACCACCCCACAGAUAGCAUAUCCACUGCUAUUGGAGACAAACUGACUUUACAUUUCCUUUUAUUAUGUAAAACUUCAACAGGCUGUUCAAAAAUCCAAACUGUGGAUUUACGACACUUGAGGAAAAGCUUUGUGAAACACAAGGACAGAUUAUUAGUUGUCUCCUACUUAAUAACCACUCAGUUUUUGUAAACUGCUGAAGUUUUACUUAGUUUGUAACAUCUAUCUUAGCUAACAGAUUGCUGGCUACUUUUUCGCUCUUGAGAAACUAAAUUUUGACACAAGAUGGUGAAUCACUACGUAUUGAUGUUGCUGUUACAGAUUACUACAUAUCUACUUUUUUUUUUUUUAAGAAAAGAAAAGCAAUGUUUGUUUUCAGUUUGAAAAGGGAAAAAGAUUUUUUUUUUCUCUUUUCAAAAUAUUCCCAUUACAUCUGUUUCUGUACACUCAUUUUCUUGCUUUACAAUUUUUACCAUUAAUUCUAGAUUACGUUCAGGCUUACAAUGUGAAAUAGUGACUUUACAGCAGAAACACAUUGACUUCUACCACUUCUUUUUGUGGCUACAGGUUCAUUUUACCCUCCAAAAUAUCCAACCUACAUUAUAAUUGUUAGAUCUGUAUUCCUUGGCUAGGAAUCCAACAUUUUAUUUCUUUAAUCUCUCCCAAGACAAAGUAGUGAUGUUACCAAAUUCUUCCAAACCUUGCGAACUACUCACAACAAUAUCAUUAUUGUUAUUACUUUUAACUCUUCCUUACAAAAAUGGGUGAUUUGGGAGUCCAAAAGUGUUAGAGGUACUGAUACCAGUUCCUUCUUUCAGCCUAAUAGUCAGUCCUUCAGAUGAAGACAAGAUUGGUUCUUGUAUUUCCUGAUGGAAAAUUUUCGGUAGAGCUAAUUAAAUAGUCCCUGUAGCUCCAGGUUAGAGCAUGUCACAAAAUAUGUUCUGUUGUGUUGAUUCUUUUUUUUUUUUAUUAUUAUUAUUACCAUUUAGAUGUUUGAAAUUGUAAGUGUAAGAUAAAUGCAACUUUUUUUUUUUAAACUUCUGAUUCAGCAGGUAUUUUUAUCAAGUUAUCUCUACAUCUCCAAGCAAGUAAUACUGUGCCUCAUUAUGUCUAUGUGCAAAACGAGGAAAAAAAAAAAAAAAAAAAACCAAAAAACACUAGAAUGACUUUUAGGAGACCAAGGAGAAAAUUCAAUCCCUCUUUCCCCCAGUGUUGCUUGAUUUGCCCCAUCUCCUGGACCAACUUUCAAAUAGGUUUGGUUAUUGCGUGCCUGCUGAUGUGUAUUUGUUUGUAUUGUCUUCUCAGGAAUUUAAUUUCACAUGCUACCAACACAAUCGUGUCACUGCAAUUUAGCAUGCAUUUUGAUGAUGUGUUCUAUAUCUCAUUAAAGUCUCGUCUCUUUAGCCAAUACCAUAUGCUACUCAUCUGUAGAAAAGCUCUUAAACAUAAUGAAAAAGGUAUAAUCACAAAUGAGAAGGCAAAUGCUGACAAACAACCCACAGGUAUUCAAGUUCCAUGACACUACUGAAAGAAAAUAUAGUGCAAAAAGAAAGCCUUUUAAAUUUUUUAGAAUCGUUAUCUGACAGGAAAAAAAUGUUGAGCUUGGAGGUACUCUUCAGUUACUCUAUGCAACUCCAUUGCAGCAUUCUCAGAUCACGAGACAAUGAUGUACCAAUGUAUAUGUAGGAGGAAGAUUUGUUUUUAACAGAGAUAAAAGUUUCAAGUUAUUGAUAUAUAAUACUGAACAAUUUGUUUUCAAAAGUGCUAAUUUAAAGAUUAAAAUAUUUUGAAAAUAUUUUGAGACUAUUAUACCUAGUUUUUCUUUUCCCUCAGAUUUUGAUUUUUUUGUUUUUUUGUUUUGAGCCACAAUGGGAACUUUAUAUAUAUAUAUAUUUUUCUGUAUAUAAUCAUUAUGAGAACAGAAUAAAAGAGUUAGUGGUGAUCAUCUGUAUCAAGAGUAGUAGAAGAGAUAAGCCAAGUUCUGACCUCAGACGUGAAUAUAUGACUGUCAGUAAUCAAAUUAAAGUGCAUCUGGGUUAGGUAAGAAAUCGAGUUUAGAAAGAGGACCAGAGAGACAAUUUCUAUCUACUCAGUAUCACUACUAAUACUUAAAUUCUUAAAGUUAGAGAGAUGCCAGCCCUGAAAGGACCUCUAUACACAUAUGAUGCUAGUUUUACCGUAAAGAUGCACUGAGACCCUAAAAGUUUUGCCUAGGCACAUGAAGGCCUAAUCCCAGCCUUCUGGUCACUGGUCUCAGGGAAGCCAGGACAAUGCAGAAGAGAGCUGUGCCUGGGCAUUGCCCAGAGCUGAGGACACCAUGACAAGGAAGUGCUAGAAACACAGUGACGAUGGCUAGGGAGGCUGCCUAGUUGAGCACGUAAUCCAGAGUGGAGAACACUUGGAUGAGGCUUGUGAGCAAAUGGUUGAUGUUCACCCACAGUUUUGUUCCCCACCUUUGGGAAAUAAAAGCCAAGCACAGGUUUUUGUAAGCAGGACUCCAGGACUUGACUCCAGUCCAUCUCUAAUUAAAUCUAAAUUAAAUUUCACCAAGCAGAAUUACCAGGGCCUAAACAGACCUGGUGAUAAAUCCUUCUUCCUGGUGCUGACUAGUAUUCACUAAAGACAAAGAUCCACUAACGAGGAACGGUUUUGUCUGUUCUUGGUAUGUUAAUUCAAAUCAUAAGAACUAAGCUAGUAGGUUUCUUUGGAUGGACAGUAUAUUGCAUGUGUUCAUUUAGUCACAUAUUUUAAUUGUACAGAUCAUGAAAUAUAUUUGGAAUUAUAUUUGGAAUUAAGAGUUCUUAACAUAAGAUAGCCAUGUAUGCAAAAUCAAAGCUUUUAUACAUUUCUUUGGUAACAGCUUCUUUAAAACACACUCAUAUCAUGGACUUUCUCCUGUCAAAGCUCUGUAAAUGGUUGCUUUACUAAUGGCUACCUUAGUCUCACUAUUUAUUUUUCCUUUUUUUCUGAGAGUAUAAUCUUUUUUAUCUCCACCUUCCAUCUGGAAAUAACCUGCACUGAAUCAAAUGCACCUUUUUUAAAGUGCAAUUUUUAAUUAAGCAGUCUUUUUCAUUUAUUAUUUUUUCUCCUAGGAGGCUCUGAAGCUUACUCUGUUUCUGCCUGAGUAUACAUAGAUUAUUGGCUUAUUUUGUCUUUUUAUUUUUAGACUCGCUUUGAACAAACUUUGAUGGCAGUAUGAAAGUUAAUAAGGAUCAUAUGAUCCUUUCCUUCCAGCUGUAAAUGUAUGAAUAAUGGUCAUUUUGUGAAUCAAGCUCUGCAAUAUUCAGUUAAAUAAAUAAAUAAAUAAAUAAAUAAUACCUUUUCAUUAAUCGUUGACAACAAAUUAGUAUUCUGAAAACAAAAUGACUGCAUUCCUAGGACAAUAUCACUUUCUUCAUGAAAUUUAGUAGGUGACUGAAAAUUUUAUAUGCCGCAGUUUCUGAAUGCCCAGCUUAAAAUUGAAAGGCUCAGAAUAAUAGGAGAAAACAAAAUUGUCUGAAUGUAGUUUAUGUAUCAAUAUAAUUCUGUGCAUUGUGUGGUGCUUAGAUAUACAAUGAAACUUGCAGUCCCAGACACAAUAAAAGGUCAUUUCUGUGGCUUCCUUGUAUCUCAGUCUUUCUUACAGUCUGUGGAGAGCAUCUGCUUGUUCUUAGUCCAGGCUGUUUGAUAGUCUGAAGCUCUGGAGCAAUACUGCUUAGUAGUCAUUAGAAGUUAUUAUGGAUUUAUUCUAUAAUAAUGAUUAAGAAAUAUCUAUUCCAGAUGUCUGCACAAAGCUUUAUGUGCUAAGUAGAUAUACUGUGAAUUAAUAAAGCUAUUUCUCCUGAAUGUUGCUACCAACAGAAAAGGAGCCAAUUAAUUCCACACAACUUUUAUUAUUAUUUAUAAACUGAUUCUUAAAUAGAAAUGCUUACAUCUGCCUCUUGCUCCAGAUGGUGCAAUUUAGCUGCCUAUGUUACUCAUGAAUCGUCUUUGGUUUUAAACAAAUUCUUAACUCAGCAACUGUCUUAUCAAUAAUUCUCCAUUUCUUACAAUUGAAACCUAAACUGCACUGAUGCUUUAAUUCUCAGAACAGAGAAUUUUCUGUCUCGUGGGUCAAAAGUACAAGGAAAAAAAUAUUUUUAAUAUUCCACUGAAGCGGUCACAGUUGUAAAACUGCCUGGUACUGUACCCUCAGGUUACUAGCAAAAAUCCAGGCAGCAGAUUGAAUCCAAAAUUCUCAUGAGGUCUGACCACAUGCAGAUACUGGGACAGACGUUUUAUUAUUAUUAUUAUUAUUAUUAUUUUCCUAGCACAUCAUCUGGUCAUUGAGUUUACAUUUAUGUUCCGGGCCCUAGACGUACUAUUUCCAGCUAAGAACAAAUGCUUCAGCUAUAUAACAAUGCUAAGUCCUUGUCCUAAAAGCUGCCCAGGAGGAAGCAAUGAGCAGGCUUCCAGCUCUCUGCCAGGAUGGUCAGGUGCUGGAUGCUAUUUCUGUAGUUAAGAACCAUUGUGGGUGCAGCUGCUCCGAGAUACUGAGGGGAGGAGGGAACAAAAAAAAACAAAACAAAACAAAGCAUAUCAAAAUCAAUACGUAGGCAUUAUCCUGUAGGAAUGUAAAAAGUGCAGCAAGUAUAGUCUGGCAAGGUCCUAGCAAAGGUUCAACCCAGAUCCACCAUAAGUGUAGCCCUGAUAGAGACCUUCAGAUGUGAUUCAGCUGUCUACUGGAAUAAUAAGCAGAAAUGACUAAAAUACACUUCUGCUAUAUUAUGCCAUGGCUGUAAUUCUUGCCUUGAACCUUUAUUGCCAGUUACAUGUUUUGAAAUGAUUCUAAAAGGUAGGAUUUAUUUAGUUAUAUUAAAUAUAGGAUUAAUUCAAUUUGCCUUUGUAAAUCAUAUUCUUAAAAACCAACUUACACUGAAUUCAAAAUGGACAAUAUUCUUGAGACUUUCAGAAUAAAAUAGUUCUGUAGAGUUUGAGCUAAGCCCUUCAAAUUAGUAACAUGUAACUAGUCAGAUUAAAAACAAAGCAAGCAAUUGCUUUUCAAAUUAUUAUUCUAAAAAUGGACUGGAAUAAAAAUAAAUAAAGAACUUAAAUCUAUGCAUUCACAGAAUUUUAUUCAUGAGUGAUUUUGAAGUCAGUUUGAAAGCUAAAAUUUCAUUUGAAAGGUAAAAUUGAAAAUAGGGUAAUCUUGUAUUUAUGAUUUCUAUGUAUGCUACGUUUUUGGUUUUUUUUUUUUCCUUUUUUUUCCCCCAAAAUUAAGAAAAACACUUGAAAUGGCUUAAACCUGAUUUGACUUACUGCUUCUGUACCUCAGCUGGUAUGUCAUUUUAUUAUGAAACCUUCCUAAGAGAUUUAAAAGCUAUUCAUAGCUUAUUUAUACUUAGAUAGAAGAGAGUAGCCAUAACCUUACUGAUAAUAAUCGAUCUUGUGGUCAUGUAUUGAGUAUCUGAUUUUUUCUUUACCAGAGUGGGCAUUACCUGGGACUUGACCUGCUUUUAACUGAAGCUACUAGCAUAGCUGCUCCAAAGAGAUCUAAACCAAGGAGCAGAGCUGAUGUCUGUGGGAUGUGAAAUUAAAAGCCAUGUGACCAUAGGCAACAAGCUAACAGGAGAUAUGGGAUUAUAUUUUAGACCUAGGUGAUCAAAUUUUAGGUCUGUUUCAAGUAAUCUUCCUAUGACUAAGCACUUAACCCAAACUACUGAAAUGCCUUGGUGCAGAUUUGAUAAUUCUUUGGGCUUUGUGGUCAUGGUAUCUUUGUUAGUCUUAAAGCAGUCUCUCCAAGCUCUUCUAUCUUGUUUGAACAGUGACUGCAAGUUAAGGGGCACUUCCAGGAACUCUUUUUAGUCUGCUCUUGACCAUUUUUUUUCUUUCCACCUCUUACAGGUGACACUAUAGGAAAGCACUUUAAGGAAUGGAGAACCAGUACAGCAGUGGGUAGGACAUUGUUCUCAGCUGCGAAGUGCAGGUGAGGGCACUCCUUGUCAGCUCAGAUGCAAUGGUUAACCACCUAAGAGCUCUUCUGCUCCUCUUCCUUGGGAAGCCACAAUUCACAGCUGAGGCUGAAGACACAUAAUUAAUUCUUUGCUGUAGGGGACAUUUAACCUACUGAUAAAGGCAGACACUUAUGCUUGGGACAGUAAACUCAGAAUACCUGAAGUCAAAUAGUCUUUGCAAAACCAGUUUAAAUUAAGAUUAUACACUAUGUAGGCUUUUUAUACAGCUAACAGAAAAAAUGAAGGCAGAAUUGCUUUCUGAAGGAAUAUAAGCAGUAAUCAUAGCAGUUCCUCUCUGUCUGCAUAUGUUACAAUUAAGAAAAUUGGAUUUCCAGAUUCUUUUCUCAACCCAGCAGCUAGACACAGGCUGAAAGAAUUUUGGCUAUGUCUCAUGUCGGACACAGCUUUUAGAAAAUAAGUGAUUUUUUUUUUUCUUACUGUCAAUCUUCAGGUAUUUAAGAGUUCUUGAAAAGUUAGCAUCCUGUCACUAGGGGGGCUUUCAUUAAUUUGAUGUGCUGUGAUACCCAGCACAGAAUUAAAGGUGGGAAAUUCCAUCCUUCUUGUGAGAUUGAGGAGUCACAUCACCAAAAUGAAAGUACAUUUAGCAAAGCACCACCCGACUUUGCUCAGUAUGUUCACACAGUAUCAUGUCAUCAUCAUUUGGCAGAUAUACAGUUUUAAUAAAUCUGCUAAGCUGCCACUUCAGGCCAUUUUCUCUAAAUCUCAAAGAUCCAUGUGUUUAAAACUGAGAAACUGAAAAUGAUGAGUUGCUUGGUUUUUUUUUUUUCAGUCUACUUUUUUUCAACACAUCUUGACAGUGAACAUUUUACAGUCAAUAAAUGAUAUCUAAAGCUACCACAGGGAACCAGAGUCAUCCCAGAUACAAAUAGCCAAUUAUAAAAUGGAGCUCAGAGUUGAAUAAAUUAUUUUCUGACCCUAUAGGUGAUAAAGUGAUAGCCAACAGCACAAGUUUCAUUAUCCAUAUCUUUAUCACAGCUCAAAUGACUGAUAAUGUCAACGAUUACUUUGCUCAGAUAUUCAAAGACAAAUUUUCGGUAUGAAUCUAGCAAACUACAUUUUGAUCGCUUUGCUCCAGGUUUCUAAGACAGAGACAUAAACACUCUGAAAGACCUUACAGCUGUUGAUUAUGAGCUUGGACAGAAUUAACACUCAUACAAUAAUAAGACUUGUCCAAAUGAGCAUUAGGAUCAGAUACAGAUCAAGCAUGAAGCAAUUGUACCUAUCAGCCUCAUUAGCUAACCCUGACCAUCCUUCAUACUUCACAGAAGAACUUUCUGCAUUUUAAAAUACCAUUAAUGGGAGGGGGGGGGGGGGGAAGGGAAGUGUUUAGGAUUCCAAAUUAAUUGCUUCCACAUAAUAUUUUUCUAAUGUAUUUCUGUGAGCAUUGCAAAUAUCUGUUCAUAUUUCAUUUGGGCUGCUUUCCAAACCAUCAGACCCAUUCCUACAUACUACAAUACUGUAUCAGGUUUAUUUUAUACUAAAGGAAAAGUGCAACAGAGAAAUGCCCAGGGACAGCUAUUUUUUAGAAGUGACAGUUAAGACUUUGUUCAUCUUCUCAGCCAGUGGAUUCCUCCCAUUUAUUCAUGUCCCAGCAAAAUUUCCACUAUUACUCCCAACACACACAACUUCUAAUCAUUCAUAUACGAGAAAGAAGCAUUUCUCUGUAGUCAUUCUGCUUUGGUUACUGAGUCAUUACGAUUAGAGAGUUACUCUACGCAGUUCAAAAGCCUAUCAGGUAGAAGGAAUGGAAAUGAUAUACAAUAAUUGAUCAAAAGAUGGAAAUCGUGUAUUUGAAAUUCCAGUGUUUUGACAUUUAGUUUUUCAUCGCACUGAAAUGAGAAGUAAAUUUAACAAGAUUCUUUGCAAUAAAGAAAUUACACAAAACAUUGGGAAUCAGGGGAGGGGCUCAGAUAUUUUUGUUCAUUUGUUUUAAAAAGUAUUUACUAAGGGCACAGAAUCCUGCUGCAUUGUGGUCAAGAUAUCUCCUAGGUUAGGAUUUACAGCAUAGCAUGUAGAGAGAAAAUUUUAUUUUCCUGUGAUUAUUUUUUAUAUACAUAAUAUAUUUUUAUAUAUGUAUGUAUAUGUUUGUCAGAGCAAGAACUUCAUCAUGUAUGCAUCUUUUAAAUCCCAGACCACUCCUGUAGUUGCCAGGCUACACAUCAUUAGAGCCCAUAACUUUCACUGUACCCAUUUCAGCUCCUGGAAAACUAUAGGCUGUAAUGACUUGAAGGGAAGCAUUUUUCAAUAAAAUUUCAUCUAUCUUUAGCAGAAUAGCUUCUAUAUCUUUCUAGAUAUUGCCAAAGAGUGGGAGAACCUAAAUACAGUAGAAAGUGUUUUUCUGAUGUUACAAGACUAUAAAUAGGACAGUGCAGCAUGAGGAAUGAUACCCUAAAAUGGGAAGCUGAGCUAUUAUUUUAGGUAUUAUACAUGAAAAUGUCCCUUCUGGCUUGCCUCCAUUUGUGAGAAUGAGCCAUUUCAAUGCCCGCUUAGGCCUUUCAGUCUAUGAUCCUGCUUUUCUAUGAUUUAAAAUAGUAAAACUUUGACAUCCUUUUAAACUGCCAGUUCCUAACUGGCAAUGCUUUAUGAAUACUCUCUUCAAGAGACAAUUCUAAGAAGAACAGAACCAAGAAGUCUGCCAGAGAAAUAGAAUUAUGUCUAAAUCUUGGGUACUCUGUGAUGUAAGUUACUGAAAAAUGAAAACAACCUCAUGGUGCACAACAAAUGAGGUGUGAAGGAUUGGUAGAAAGAAUGAAAGGUAGUAUACUACUGUAAUAAUUCCAACAGUUUAAGGACAGCCUGUGAACUGAAAGUGCAUAACAGUUUAAGUAAGCACAAAGUUUGAAUGUCAAGAAAGGUCUUACCUAUGGUCCUUUAGAACAAAAGGCAUACUUCAUCUAUUAAUAAAAGUUUGAUCUUCAGCAUCAGACUUCAAUCAUAAGGCAGGACUGUCAUUGAUAUUGAAAGUCAAACAGUAUAAAUUAGUUUGCAUACAUGUAGAAGACAAAACAAAAGAACAAACACAGAUUUCCCACUUUCAUUCCUACAUAAUAUCUUUGCCAAAGCAUCAAGAUGCUUUUUUUUUCCUGAAAAAAAAAAAUCACUGUUGAUCACUUAUCCUUACUUAUUGCCUGGCGUAUGUAUACAAAAGCAGAACCUAAAGGUUCACUUAAAUAGAAACAACAGAAUGUCUCUCUCUACCGUGCUACUUAUCCCGUGUCUAAAAUGGGUACUGGCACAUACUCUGAGGUCCAUUUAUUUUGAGGUCCCUGGAAGCAUUAGAAAGCAAGAAUGUCCUGCUCAAUGCAGAUAUUGUUUGAGUGGCUCUGUGAGCUGCCAGGUGCUUGGUGAAGGUGAGGCUGGCAACCAAGGGUUCCACUUCUAACUGUAUUCGGGUCAUGACUUGGCUAUACUUCCUCUUAACAAUCAGUCAUGUUGGUCAGUGCCCUCCAGUUGGUGGUAGGCUUUAGAGUGUAUCUAUUACAUAUGCAUGAGGUUUGGAUGAUUGUUAGAGGGCCUUGCAAAACAUGCAGUAAGGUGUUUGUUUGAGAGCAACUCUUGCACAUGGGGCAAGAUAGACACAUCUAUGCAUGAGUUCCACCGUUAUCUUGACACAUGGGACACAAGGAUGACAGAAAACAGGAGUGUGACAGCAGUCUUCAAGGUCAUCAAACAACCUGGUUUUCAAAUGAAGGCUCGAGGAUGUAGCAUUGUCCAAAAAUGAAAAUAUCAGAAGUUCCUGAUAUAAAUAAUUCCAAAUUUAGUUCAGAAGUAGAAAAGGAUAAAAGAGGAGUACAUAACAUCUGAGAAUUAGGACAUAUACUGCCAACCCCACCAAAGUUACACUAAAAAAAUUACUUGCAAACAAGUAACUGCUUGUUACUUGCUGGGCAGUGAGACUGUUCCCAGUCUGCUCCCCUUAUUCCAGACACUGAAAUAAAGCAAAACUAAAACGUCUUCUAAAGCUCUCCAUUACGAAUCAGGAGCUUUCAGAUAGCUUAGAAGCACUUGUUUGCAGCAGCUCAUUUCUCAUAAAAAGCUUGUUGCCACUCUAGGGAGGAGUAAAAUCACUACUGAUGACAUUCAAAUCAUGGUCUGCCUUCUCAGCAAUUAAUUUUAAAUAUGAUUCAUACUCCAUUAUGCUCUGGAAACCAAAGAAAUUAUCCUUUAUUGUGUCUAGCCAUUUUUCAUCACUAUGGACUCAUAAUGACCAAUUUUACUCUUAUCUGUUAUAAUAAGCUUGAAAAUGUGCAAAAAUUAACCCGAAUGUUUACAUUUCCCUUUAAUUCAGCUUCAUAAGGAUUUCCCAGUGUAAAUAUACAUUUACACAAUAGAAUAGAAUUAUUAGCAUGUAACAUAUGUAAACAGCAUUAGCUUUUAAAUUGUUUAAAUAUUCAUGUUUGUAGAUUAGAAACAAGUUGGGUCAAUCUUCAGGGUUGGGUCCAACGCUACUGAACUUUGUCCUACUUACACAGAAAUCCAAAUAAAAGCAUACAUUUUAAUGAAUAUCUAAGCCAGUUUUAGGCUAUUUUAAUAGCUGUGGAGUGAUGUCUGAAAAUGAAUGGGUUUAUACCGUUCUUCCUCUUUUACAACACCAAUUUUUAGUUAAAGAUAAAAAAUAAAAGAAAGGUCACAGAGAAAAGGUCCAGGCUGACGUUUUCAGAAAUCCUGAUGCAAUUGCUUGUUUCAGCUGUGUGACUUUAAUAAUCUGCUGUCUCUGUCACUCAAAAUCUCACCUGUAAAACUGAGGUAUUUUUCUCCAAACAGAGCAGGUAUGCUGCAUGAAGUGGAGACACUCCUUCCUUUACCUGUUGGGGACAGGAUGUAUCCUCUUCCCUUGGGAGGCAGGUGCAGCUCUGCAUCCCAAACCAGGGCCAAAUUCUUCCUCAGAAGCCUACAUGAGAGGUUACUCUGCUGUAGUUCUCAUUAAGCUUCACUCACUGUGUGCACAGCAGCUGAAUGCUGCUUUCAGUCCAUGUCCUGCCUCCCACCCAGACCAGCCCCAUGCUGGCUAGGGGAUGCAGGAUUGAUACCACGGGGCAGCAGUGGUCAGCACACAACAAGGGAAACACGGCCUGACUCAUCCACUGGAAUAUUGCUCAAGGAAAGGAGUUAUGGCAUAACAAAACUUAUAAAUACCUGAUUUGUUUUGCUUUUUGAAUAAGGGUUACCACCCUUACCAGGUGGCAAUAGCAAAUGCCAUGGAGCUCAUACAGCUUGUCACCAGUAGAGCAAGUCCCACACCCCCCAUGAAUACAAGUUUCAGAGAGCACACUUCCAGCUUGAUCACAAAAAUUUGAUCUUAAAUUAAGCUCCCAACUUAACGGAGGGUAACUGGGGAUGUUAUUCCUAUUUUUAAAAUGUUACAGACGUUGCAAGGAAUGAGGGACAAGGGAUAGGUGUACAGGGCUCAGAUGCCCCAUCAGUGUCAGGGGGCUGCAGGGCUGUUUGAGACAAGGCAAGGACUGCCCCAUGCUGGACACAGACAGUUCGAGCCAACUCCAAUGGCCCCAGCACAGGGCAGGGUUGGGCCCAGCAGCUGCCCUGGGGUGAGGGCAGAAUGGGAGAGUGAGAGCGCAGCUGGGAGGGAAUUUGGGCUGAGCCAAGGUUAACCCACAGCAACAGACCCACAAGUUUUAAGACAGUUCCUAAGUAAAGGUACUUAGAAGAUGUACGUAUAGUCUGAAAGAUGCACAGAAAGAGCAUUAAUCGAAAGACUGACAGAGCAAGGACCAACAAAUGAGUUUAGGGUACUCUACAGAUACAGAGUCCAAUGCAAUAAUGGCUGCACUGCAUUAAUAACUGCAUGAAGCAACCACACAUAUGGAAAGCAAAAAAAUAAGGCAAGUUAGCUAACAAACUUACGAAAAAGCAGAGAGGUGCUUCUGAAGGAGACAAUCCCAUGGAAAGGCCAAGGGUUGUUCCCUUUUAUGGUCAGCUUUCUCUGCAUUUUUGUAAACUGCAUUUGAUUAUAACAGAAGAUAACUGAUGCAGAUUAUACAUUCCUAAUGAAAAUAACAAGGCAUCAAAUACUAGCUACUUGAUUAAGCAAAAGAAUGGUAAAACCAUGUAAUUUUCUUCAACCAUUAUUCUUAUAAUUCUAGCAUCUACCUGAUGCUAGACAUUUUCAGUUAUGGCCUCCAAUGUCAAACUUUCACUUACACUUUCCACAUUUCUCAAUUUUUUUAAAAUAUUUUUAAGGUAUGUUUGCACCAUUUAAAGAAAAAUGUUGAAGAUAUUGAAUUUGUCUCGAAUAAAUAAUCUAAAUUCUCACUUAAAAUUGAUCCCUUUUUGACCUCUGACUUGUCAGAGGAUGAGUAAUAAGCUGACAAAAUGCCUGUGCUUCCCAAGUCAUUUUUUGAUGGUCCCCUGACCAUUCCUAUCCUGCUAUAGAUACCUACCUUGCUUAAAGCCAAACAUCUUGAUCGUAAGUCAAUUAAAAUAACACCAGAGCAAUAAAAAAUAACCUGCAGAAACCAGUGAAGUCAAUUUAAUUGCCAAGUAGAAUUCCUGAGUUGGAAAACAGUACACAGAUUUUGUUAAUAAAUCUGUAAAUAAAGAGAAAAGAAAGGAAAAGCAAGCAACUAGGGUACUGCAUAGACACUUUCCCCUCACCUUUUUAAAUCCUGCCUCAAAUGAAUGAUACAAUUAAAAUGAAUUCUGAAGCAACACAACAUGAAUCUAUCUAUGAAAUUUAAUGUCCUAAAGAUGGUUCAGUCACUUGAACAAGACCACAAUGAGGGAAAAAAAUGUUAAUCUAAUUGUAAAACUUCUGACCAUUAAGUUAUUUACGUUGCAGGUAUUUGAUGCGUCUCUUUGCAAAGCUUUAAACGUGUAAUCUAGGAAAAUGGUUGUUUUUUUUCUUUUCUGUAAAAUGGCUGAGAUACUUGGUGGUAAGACAUUAAAAUGAAUUAUAUGGAAGUUGAUAUGUAGUAACAUUAGAUGCAGUUCAGCUGUUGAAAUUGUAAGCUGUUAAAGAACACUUUUCUCAAGCGAUUGACAUCUAUUUCCAGAACUGUAUCUUUGAGUAAUAUGCACGGGUAGGAAUCAUGCUGAAUUUUCUUCCACGAAGCAGCUCAAGCAAAGAUAUUCAGAUACUCAUUUAUAAAGUGACAGCUAGGAUCUCAGCAGGUUAGAAAGCCACAUGCUACAAAAAAAUUUACUGUAUAGAAACUGACCUAAGGAGGACUCUAAUUCCUGAAAAAUAUAACCAGAAACCACAUUCUACGUUGGCUUGCACUUAAUAUUGAAAGGGAGAAAUAUAGGACAGAGUAUGUAUGCACAGCAUAGUGCAUACAUUGUUUUGUAUGAGUUUAUUGUAUUUCAUUGUUUCCUUUUACAGUGGUCUUCAACAAUGAUCACUUUGGAAUCAGUAUUUAAUUUAUGAAAUACACACAACUCCAUAGAAACGAUGCCACAGAUUUCAAACAGCAUUGGAUCAAACUUGUGAGAUAACUGUAUUUUAACCUUGAACUGACCCCGCUCCUGCUCACUGUAUGAUCUGCUUUGUCUUAACCCUAUCGUCUUUAGUACUUUUGAAAGUUCAUCUGUGUCAACAAGGCAAAAGCAAAACUCUGAGAACAGCUUUAGUUCUUUUUCUUUCCAUGUCUUACUACAAAAAAUAAAAAUAAAAAAAAAAAUAAAUUCCCUGUGCCUGUGCUAUUUCUCUUGUUAUUACAAUUUACUUGAAGAUCAGUGCAUAUCUGCAUAAGACUCUUAAAUUGCUAAACAAACAAACAAAAAUUGAAAAAAACAUAGAAAUAGAAAUCUUCUAUAGUGCUUUUAUCAAAGCAUUUCCACAGAAAUGAUGCAUAUCUAGCUCCUAUGGUUCUUAACAACUUUAGCUCUUUAUAACCUUAGCUCUUUCAGGAUGUGAAAACAGUAGUCAUACUGCAGCAUAUGCUAGAGAGCACCCCAAUCUGUCCUAGGAUGCCAAAAAGGGGGAGAAAAGGAAUCCCCAACUAAGAAAACUUAUACAUUUUACUGAAUGGGAAGCUUAUUGUAGAGUUUUUGCUAAGCCAUUACUAUGGCUCUCUCACUUUGAAAUAGAACAUAAAAGGGUUUCAGCAUCAUGAAAAUCAAAAUACAGCCACCUGUUUUUGACAAUUCUCCCCCACACACAGAAAGUACAUUUAUUCUUUAUAUGCGUAUUUGUUUUGCAUGCUGUGGCAUUCUCUUACCAGACUUCUCAGUUACAGAAACAUGUCAGUUAAAAAUUAUUUUUACUACUCGCAAAUGCAUAUUUCAACUGGUACAUGGAACCAUUAAAAGUUUUGCUACACAGCAGCACCUGCAGAACUAAAUAAUUUUCUGCUCCUACUGUGAAGAGAUACCUCUAUUAUUGUCAGUGUGGUAUGGUAAACAUUGUAAUUCUGAACAUGCCCAUGGUACUGUGUGGCUGAUACUGUUGGAAUGCUCCAUGCCACAGAUCCUAUGUAUCAGCCAUCAGUCACUUCUAAUGUCAAUCUGUUGCUUUCUCCUGGAAAUAACUGAUAUAAUCUCACUGUAGUUUCUAUUAUAAGUCCAAUUUGUCCAUGCUCAUUAUGCAUAUAAACUCCUUUGCAUCAGAAUGAGAAUAUGAUGAAGACAGACAUAUUGAUACAUACUUAUCAAUACAUACACCCAAAUACAUGUUGUCUCUAUAAAAGCAAUAAUACAAAUGUAUUAUAUUCAGCUUUAAACAGAACUUUGGUAAUGUAGUUGUAGAUAUAUUGCAUAUUGCUUUUGGCACUACUAAAAAUAAGUCAUUUGGAUUAACCAUUUUCAAGAAGUACAUUUUAUAACUGGAACAUAUUUAUUCAAGUUCUCUUUUGGAUUAAUGCAAUUUGUCUGAGAGCAUGCACUAAUUUCUGUUCUCAGCAUAGCCUUGGGAGGUUAAAAAUGUUAAAUAUGAUUCUUUGCAGGUUUUAAUAUAUCAUCUUGCCUUAUGAAGAGUUGAUUAUCACCACCCAGUGGUGCUUACAUACUGAUAGAAUUCAUGAUUAUAUGUAUCCAAAGUAGUACCAAGAGUACCAUACAAAAGAACUGACUAUAUUCUAUGUAAGUAGCUACUUAAUUGUAGUCAGUAUCAUAA
rnacentral:lncRNA from 1 species